CCUACGGGAGGCAGCAGUGAGGAAUAUUGGGCAAUGGAGGCAACUCUGACCCAGCCAUGCCGCGUGAGUGAAGAAGGUCUUCGGAUUGUAAAGCUCUUUCGUUUGUGACGAUGAUGACGGUAGCAUCCAAAGAAGCCCCGGCAAACUUCGUGCCAGCAGCCGCGGUAAUACGAAGGGGGCAAGCGUUGUUCGGAAUUACUGGGCGUAAAGGGAGGGUAGGCGGUUUAGUAAGAUAGUGGUGAAAUCCCAGAGCUUAACUUUGGAAUUGCCAUUAUAACUAGUAGACUAGAGUGACGGAGAGGAUAGUGGAAUACCCAGUGUAGAGGUGAAAUGCGUAGAUAUUGGGUAGAACACCAGUGGCGAAGGCGACUAUCUGGCUGUACAUUGACGCUGAGGCUCGAAAGCAUGGGGAUCAAACAGGAUUAGAUACCCGUGUAGUC
rnacentral:rRNA from 1 species